rnacentral:lncRNA from 1 species
GGGAGAAUUCUCAGAUCGAAUCGCUGUUUCAAAAACACCCUUGCAACUUUCCAGAAACCCCCUUGCUCCCACGCUGCACCGCAGCCUUCCCCGACCUCCCGAUCCCUAUCUUCUUUCUCUCCUCUCCUCGCUCCCGCAUCGACUCCAACAGCCUCGCUCCGGCAUCGACGCUUGGUGGUGCCCGAAACCCUAGCCGCAGCCACAUCUUCCCUCUGCUCCCCUCCGCCUCGCUGUGUUCCCACACCAACAUCUUGGGUGGUGCCCAAAACCCUAGCCGCCGCCUUUUUCCUUCUUUCCACUCUACCUCCCCGAAUCUGUGCCUCCCCGUGCUUGCGGCAACUGCGCCGCCUUGGACAGCUGCCUCUCGCACUGUCCCGCAGGCCAUGUGCGACGUACUGCCUCACCUCUUCCACGACUCUGGCAUCCGUCUUCCCCCUCGAUCCGUGGAGAGCGGCAUCACCAACCUGCUCGAGUAAGCUUGUUGCUAUAAUGCGCAAGAUCUAUUACAAAUACAUGUAGGUCAAUGACGCUUGCAUAUAUAGGCCACAGGGAGGAUAGAAACUGAGAAGAAUUGCACUUUCUAUUUUGUUCCGUGUAGGGCUGAUGGGCAGCGAGCCGGCGGCUGUGAUUAGGAGCACGCCAUGGUGUAUGUGGACGGCGAUGCUGACUGGGAGCACACCAUGGUGUAUGAGGAUGGUGACUGGAUGCUGCCGUCUGUUGAGGUGUCAUGCAAGUAAGCACCCUUGCUGAGCUGCACUUGCCUUGUAUAUUGAAGGAUUGGAGUAAAGAUGAUAGGCAAAUGCAUGUGUCUGGUUUGCAGGAUUUGCAUGGCCAGACUCGUGCAAGAGAAUGAGGGUGAUAUGAUCUUGCCAAGCUAGAGUGUUGAACUCUGGGGCAUCAAGACCAAAAUGGCAGGUGAGGGGAUGGUGUUUAGAAAUAUGUUGUUAUUACUCCACAAGUGGUUGUCCUGAAUCAUAGAAUUGGCUUUAGUGUGUAGAACUAUGUUCUUCUUCUGUGUUAAAUACCAAAGAUUUUGUUUUUCACAGCUUGAAUCACCACUACAUUGAUAAAGAAUAAAUUGAACUCAGAAACGCUUACAAAAAGGAGUGUAAUGCUAUACUAGACAGUAACAUGAUCCUCGCUCAAUAGCUAUAAAAAAACAUAACAGGAACACCAGCAUAUCAAAUUUGUGUCACCAUGCGUAGGUACAUCAGGCUUGUAUACUUUAACUGCAAUAUUCCUCUUGGUCUUUCAUAUCUUGUUCAAGCUAUAUCAUUAUCUAUAGUGAUCGAAAUUGGAUCGUUGAUUUUUACUGUAGUGUUUUUAUUAUAGUAGUAUGGCAGAUAUUCUUCUUAUGCUAACUGAAUUUCAGAGUUGCCAUGUAUUUCAACAGGGUUGGUGAUAAUAUUAGGUGUACCUACUUUUCCUAAAUUUAAUAACCAUCCACUUAGCAGUUAAAUUUAGUAUGCUUUCCAAGUUGUAUUGAUGGUUAACAACGAGUAGUGUCUUUCUAAAAUGCAAGAAAGUCUAAACUAUUCCAUGCCUUACUCGAUAUUGAUGGGCUAUAGACGAUUUCUAUUCUUAUAACUGCAUGCACUUCUUGUUGUGUCAAUCUUUGUUCCUGCGCUCAUCUGUUCAAUGUUCACCUUUGUUGUUUGCUCUCUGCUGACAAGUACCUCCACACUACUAGGCUGGACGCCAGUGCCGAGAUAACCAGCCAUGGUGGGGUCUUUGCUCCCCAGAAAAGUAUUGUGUGCUUGUACUUGUAGGGGAAGCUUGAUGUAGUGUUCUAUUAUGAGAUUGGUACAUACUUUUAUUACACCAUCAUGAUGCAUGGUAUUUAUGUUCUUGCAUGGAUCAAUGCGUUAAUGUUCACUGGUUUAUGCCUCUUUAGAUCACUCUUUUGGCUGAAUUUAGGUGCUCUUUGAAAUGUGCUUCCAAAUUUUUACUUUACAUUAUUAGUGACGGAACUAAUUAUUGCAUUUAUCAUAGCCGUAGCUGUAUUGGGAUGCUCCUGCUGAAAUGAAGGUUAGGCAGGCAAACGGUAUCACUUGUCUGAUGUCCAUGUGCUCUACUGCUAUUUAAAUUCUUAUAAUAAGUAAAGAUCUUGUCUAUUGCGGGUCUCCCCAUUAAUGACUUUGAUGUUCUGUCAGAUCUUAACCUCAGAUAUUCUGAUAAAGAAUAUAGGUAAGCAGCAUCUUAUACUUUUAUGUGUUGUUAGAUGUUCUGAUUUGAAAAUACCAUUGAGAUGUCUAAAUUUACUUCUCCAGUUGCUUGUGGAUCUCACUCAUAUGAGAUGUACGAGUUUAUCUCUGCUCUUGUUAGAUGGUAGCAAGCAGAAGGCAACUUUUUUUUGCUUGCAUUACAGUAAGCAGGUUGAUUUAGAUCACCACACUACAAAUGCUCCUUUUAGCAACGUAUAGCUCAGAAUAGAAAUAAAAUGUGUUGCACCAUCUAUUCCACAGCCACGAUUUCUCAAGGUUCAGUGGUCCAUAAAAAUUACUUAUAGGCAAACAUUUUAGUACAAUGAUCUUUUUAUGAUGAUACCUUGGCUGAUACAAAUUUGUCAAUUCUAUCCUGCUUCACAUGUCUGAGUAAUCUAUUUAUUCAUGGGCACAUGCUCAGCUUGACAUGUCUGAGACUUUUGAGUAAUAAUCCAUUUGCUCAUUGGCCUACAUGCCUACAAAAAUACCUUAAAAGUACUGGAAUGCUCACUCACAUAUGUUAAUUUCAUGUGCUACUAAACUAGGAUCCUUGCUUAGUAUUUUAGUUUAUUUUAAGGCUGUUAGCAGUGGGUUGAAGUAUCUCUAGAUUGUAAUUUCUUAUUUGCUGAAGACUUUUCGUAAUGUGCAGGGAUUUUUUUUAGGUGUGAAUUGAGUGUGUGUAUGCAUCCAAUUGCUUAGUGUUUUAAUGACUUGUUCUGAUUAUUAUUUUAUAGUAAAACAUAUAUACCAAAUUUUAGGUUGUGGAGAUGACGAAUUCUUGCAUGGCUGAAAGGACAAAGAUGAAAAGUGAAGAAGAAAAUAAUAGAUUCUGCUGAAUGAGAC